rnacentral:ncRNA from 2 species
GCUGACAGCGCGGGAGAGACCUGCCGAUUCGCAUUUGCGAAGAAGCAGGCGCCGAAGGAGCAACCGCCCCGGAAUCUCUCAGGCAAAAGGACCGCGCAGCGUCG